GAAACAACCCCAGGUGCCUGGGCCUCUGCUGUGUAUGGAGCCAUCACUCAGGUCCUUUGAGUUGGGGCUCUUCCUCUCGAUGCCUGAAUCCAUCACUGUAAAGGUCAGUCUCUCCGCUGCGGAGGUUAAUCGGUGCGGCACUAAGCACUUUGACCAGCCGGUUAGCUGCAGCUGGAGCCUGUUAACCAGCCUGAUUGGCUGUGGGCUGUAUUUAAGGUCAAACAACUGCUUUUGGUUUCAGCGUGCCAGGCCUGGUUCCUGCCUCUCUCUCGAAUGCAGAUGCUUCAUCUCAGGGGUAGUAAGCUCUUCAGGGCAGAAACAGAGCUCAGUCAGUGUUUGGACAGCUCCUGGAGCUGCAGAACCCCAAUUUGAUUUGCACAGAGCUGAAGGCCAGAGCAUCUUAUCUGAGCAGCUUGCUUUUGCCAUUCGGAGGAAAGCAACACUUCUGCUCUGCAACCCAGUCAGCUGCCUCUACUAAGGAAAAGAAACUGCUGAAGAUCUUUCUAGCCACCUGCUUCUGGCUGGAGACAAAUUUCAAAUGCCGGUCACUCAAGUCUGGCAGUGAUAGAGGAGGGUACAAAUAUUGUCUUUACUAAUAAGUGUGUUGUUCAGAAGAAUUCCUCGUUGCAGUUGUUCAUUGCAUUCAAAAGUCUUUAAAUAUAAAGUACAUGAUGUUCUUUGGCUAAAUCAAUAUAGUGGGUGGUGAUCUGUCUCCUCACAGCAAUGACCAGCAGCCGGAGAAGGUUUUGUUUUUUUUUUCUUUUAGAUAUUUUCCAACUUUUUUUUUUUAAUAUCAAAAAGUAGAUUUGACAAGAGCAUCCUUUCAACUGAUAAACGGAAUCACAUCCCAAAUAUAGUGGCAGGGGUGAGGAAAGCAGGAAAAUCCCCAGUCAGAACUAGAGGUUUCCUGACUAUAAAUAUUCAAUGACCUCCCAGCCAGGGACUGCGUUCCCCUUCUUUCAUUUGUCUGGGGCUUGUUUUCCUCACUUGCUAAAUACGUCUAUGACAUGCUAUUUAUUCCGGGACGCGGAGAUCCUGGCAUGCCUCCUGUUUCACAACUAGAUCACCACCGCUCUGCGCAUUGGGUAAAGCCGGGCUCUUCACGCGUGAAGCCACCUUUAGUUUUUAUUCUCCCAUUUUUCUCUCCAUUCAAUUUAGGCUUCAUUCACACCCAUAGAAUCCUACUAAAAAAGCCAGAGUCGAA